rnacentral:rRNA from 1 species
GACGUAGGGCGCGAGCGUUGUCCGGAUUUAUUGGGCGUAAAGAGCUCGUAGGCGGCUUGUUACGUCGACUGUGAAAACUCGGGGCUUAACCCCGGGCCUGCAGUGGGUACGGGCAGACUAGAGUGCGGUAGGGGGAGACUGGAAUUCCUGGUGUAGCGGUGAAAUGCGCAGAUAUCAGGAGGAACACCGGUGGCGAAGGCGGGUCUCUGGGCCGUAACUGACGCUGAGGAGCGAAAGCGUGGGGAGCGAACAGG